rnacentral:rRNA from 1 species
UACAACGAGUCGCAAGCUCGCGAGAGUAAGCUAAUCUCUUAAAGCCGUUCUCAGUUCGGACUGUAGGCUGCAACUCGCCUACACGAAGUCGGAAUCGCUAGUAAUCGCGGAUCAGCAUGCCGCGGUGAAUACGUUCCCGGGCCUUGUACACACCGCCCGUCACACCAUGGGAGUUUGUAACGCCCAAAGUCGGUGGCCUAACCUUUAUGGAGGGAGCCGCCUAAGGCGGGACAGAUGACUGGGGUGAAGUCGUAACAAGGUACC